GGGCCGGUGCACGUAACCUAUUGAUUUAGUUAAUCGUAUUUUUCGUCACGGUGGGCUCAUAAUCCAUUGGUCGUAGGUUCGAGUCCUACCGGGCCCACCA
rnacentral:tRNA from 1 species